rnacentral:lncRNA from 1 species
CGCUGCUCCUGCCGGGGCUGCUGGGGGUGUCCGUCUGUCCUGACGGCACCCCCUGCCCCCCCAGUACGCCUGCUACGCCAUCGGCAAGGACGUGCAGGCGAUGAAGGCGGUGGUCGGGGAGGAGGCGCUGUCGGCCGACGAUUUGCUGUACCUGGAGUUCCUGCAGAAGUUCGAGAAGCAGUUCAUCACCCAGGGUACGGCUGCGUGGGAUGGCACAGGACGGGAUGGGGCAGAGCCCGGCGCUGCCCACCCCCUUGCACUGCCCUCCCUGCUUCUCCCCCAGGCCCCUACGAGAACCGGAGCAUCUUCGAGUCGCUGGACAUCGGCUGGCAGCUGCUGCGCAUCUUCCCCAAGCAGCUGCUGAAGCGCAUCCCCGAGCCCAUCCUGGCCGAGUAUUACCCCCGUGAGGCCAAGGCUGGGGGCCAGCAGGCGACCAGCACGGCGCUGUGAGCUGCUGCUGCCCAAAAACUUCCCGUUUCCAACCCAAACGAGAAGGAAAUUGCCAGAAACCUCCGUCCCGUGCGCAAUAAAGCAGUGUGAUCUCCAACCUAAGCUGUGCGCUCCUCCUUCCCAACCAGGCUCCGAGCUCGCCCUGCCCCGUUCCUCCCCAUGGCACUGCCCCAUGGCAUCCUGGCGCUGCUGUCCCACCUUGUGCCCCCCCCCCAGGAACGAGGGCCAGACCCUGCCCCCCGCUGCGGCUCCCCCCGGCCAGCCCCACGGGCUCCAGGGGCCCCCCCGGCCCGGCUCUGUGCUCGGCUGCAGAAACUGCCUGGGCGUCUCGCUAAACUACAGCUCCUUUUCUUUUUUUGGGAGGACCCAGGAGGUUUAAAGCCCCCGCAAAGGUGUUUUUGUUUCAUUUUUGCACCAAAAAGGCUCAGCCCCGAGGGAAAUGGGACUUGCAGCUGGGGCAGAGCGAGUUUCGGUUCCCACUCCCCUUCUGCAGCAGCGCGUCCCCCCGGCACCUUCCCGCUGCACAAAGCCCUUUGGCCGGGGGUCCCGCCAUGCCCCCCACCACCUCCCCCCCGAACCGGCACCCCCAGGGCUGCAGCAGCAGCAGGAAAAUCCCCGUGGGGAUGGGGGUGCUCGGCCCCGAGCUGCUGCUGCACGCCCAGGGGCAGCUGCUGAGCCUUGCAGCGGGGUUUCACUUCCCUGCGGCGAGCGGACGAGCGCCGGGGAGCCGGGAGCAGGCGGCCACGGGACCGGGGGGCUCCGGGGGGCUCCGGGGGGCACCGGCACUGCUGCUGCCAUGGAUUGGGCUGGGGAAAGCACCCAGCUGGCAGCCAUCGUGGAGUCAGAGGGCAGCGAGGAGGAGGAGGAGGAGGAGGAGAAGGACGAGGAGGAAGAUGAGGAGGAGGAGGAGGAGGAGGCAGCCAUGGUCCAGACCCUCUCCGAGGACGACGAAGCGAGAGCGUGGCUGGACGACUUCCAGCAGGCCUCACAGGCGCUGCUGGCCGAGCUCUCGGCGCUGGAGGCAGAGUGUGAGAUCCAGAGGACGUGUCGCCAACAAGCCGAGGCGUACGCGGCACAGGUGCAGAAGGAGAACACGAAGCUGAAGCGGCUCAGCCUGGCCCUGCCGCCCGGCACCGGGGCCGGGGACGUGGCCGGGGAGGGGGACCCCAGCCCCGACCCUACCCAGGAGGAGCUCAAGGGUGAGUUUUUGCCCCUAUUUCCGCACGAAUUUCGGUGAAUUCUGCCCCCAGCUGCGCUCGCUCCCGCUGCCGUUCCCCCGUAGCGGUGGUCACUAAAUCAGCUAAUUAGCUAAUUAAUUAAUUAAUCCCAGCGGCUCUCCUGGCUCCGGGAAACGCUGGGACAGGGGAGAAAGGCGAAAUGAAAACGCCGCAGCCCCACUUCCCCCUGCCCUCUUCUCUUUUCCCCACGCUCACGAUUUCGGUUUUGUUUGUGGCCUGGGGGAGGAGGGGGCUGCUGGCCCCUUGGCCACCCC